rnacentral:snoRNA from 1 species
AAUCCGUGUUGUGGGUAUUGGUGAAGUAAACCUUUGUAUCGUUUUCAAGCCUUUGAAUAACAUUCUGAGUCCAUUUGCUGAAAAUUAGUGAUCUCAUCCCUCAGCUU